AAAGAAUUUUGUGUUGGAUAGGUAUAUUUAUUUUGAUUUGAGUAUAUAUGUGAAUUUUUGUGUAUAAUGUGUUUAUUUCUUGAUGAUUGAAAUAUGUUUUUUCGUUUGCAGUGUAUAGAAUUGAAUAUGGGGGGGAUUUUGAUUUGGUUAAAGUUAAAUAAAUAUUGAUGAAAUAUGUGCCAGCAGUCGCGGUUAGACAUAGAAUAUAAAUGAAUAUUUUUAGUUAAGGUAGUUAUUAGUUAAUUGAUUUUUUUUUGUGGAGAGGGGUGAAAUGAAGAAAUAUAAUUAUGGGGUUAAUUUAAUAAUAGGAGGCUACGAAAUCUAUUAUUUAAACUAGGAUUAGAUACCCUAUUAUUUUGGAUGUGAAGUGAGGUUGAACUUGAGUAGUAUUAGUGAUCUUGAAACUUAAAGAAUUUGGCGGUAUUUUAGUCUUUUUAGAGGAAUCUGUCCCGUAAAUGAUAAUCCGCGUUGGACCUUUCUUGAAUUUUUUAAUUUGUAUAUCGUUGUUGUUGAAUAUUUUUGUAGAUAAUAAUGUUCUUGAUUCAUGGAUUGUGUAUAAUUUCAAAUCAAGGUGCAGUUUAUAUUUAAGUGGAGAUGGAUUACAAUAUAUUUUUUGUAUUAUGGAUUAAUAAUUGUAAUUUUAUUAUGAAGGUGGAUUUAAUUGUAAUUUUAUGAAGAUUGUUGGUAUGAAUAUGCUCUAAAAUAUGUACACAUCGCCCGUCGCU
rnacentral:ncRNA from 1 species